GAUGAACGCUGGCGGCGUGCCUAAUACAUGCAAGUCGAACGAACAGGCGAUGAUCUUGCGCGUCGGUCGUUAGGCGCACGGGUGUGAAUCACGCGAGUAUCCUCUCCUUGUCUUACGGGUAACUCCUGGAAACUGCGGCUCAUACACGAUAUGAGCUCUUGAUCCGCGUUGGUGGAUGGAGAGUUUCGGCGGUUGGGGCUGGACUCGCUGCUUACGCGCUUGUUUGUGGGGUAGUGGCUUACCAAGGUUUUGAAGGGUAGCCGGCCUGAGAGGGUGACCGGCCACAUUGGGACUGAGAUACGGCCCAGACUCCUACGGGAGGCAGAAGUGGGGAAUAUUGCACAAUGGGCGGAAGCCUGAUGCAGCAACGCCGCGUGCGGGAUGACGGCCUUCGGGUUGUAAACCGCUUUCGCCUGUGACGAAGCGUGAGUGACGGUAAUGGGUAAAGAAGCACCGGCUAACUACGUG
rnacentral:rRNA from 1 species